CCUCUCCUUCUUCCUUCAUCUUCUAAUUCAAGAGAAAACAAAGCUUCUUUUCAUUACUCAAAUCUUGUGAUUCCCCAAAAGGAAGAAAGAAUUUUUUUUUUCCCUCAAAACCCUAUAUCUCUUUCCAUAUCAUUUUGAGUUCUGCUCAUAGUUGGAAUUUUCAAGUUGCUUUCAUCUUCCAAGAAGUGCAGAAGUUGGGGGAUUUACUGAAGUUAAAGGGAUUCCAGUGGAUAAAGGUACAGACAAAACUGCUGAGGAGCUAGGAAAUGUUGAGCAGGGAGGGGCCGAUGUUUAGUAGUCCGUGGGUAGUUUGGUUUCUUUUUGAUGAUGGCAUAUGUUUCUUAUGUUUUGAUACUGGACCCCACACGGGGAUGUUUAAUUGAGUUAACUUUUGGACAAGAUACCUUUGGGUAUAAUGUAUAUUUUAUGGUGGGGUGAUGGAAACCCCUCCUGCUUUAAGUUAGUUUCUUUUGUAAGGACUGUAUGGACUGAGUCCUUUUUUGUUUAAAAUAGUUACGUUAAAUGAAGGGAUGACGGACUCUGAGAGUCCUUUAUAAAUGAA